rnacentral:lncRNA from 1 species
UGAGGUGAAUGAAAACAACAGUCUGUGCAUUGUUGGGGGCAAUGGAAGUCGGUCUUGGUUCUAGUGCUCAUACUGUUGUCAUCACUACCUCUGUUUAAUUAUGCACUUAAGAAGUUUCUGGGCUAUGUUUUUCUGGUGCUGAUAAAUGCUGGCUGGAUUCGUGUUUUCUUUUUAAAUCUCGCCACAAGCAAAAGACCUGCUCUUUUUCACCAUUAGAAUGUUUGCUAUAUCUACCAUGUUUGGCGAGACUUGAUGCAACUAGUACUAUUUUGCUGAAAUUGAGGUAUCAUGUUCAUGUUUGGCUGAACUACAUUAUGACAAGACGGUUUGCGCAAAGAUGUUCAUUUGCGCGUGCUAGCUGUGGCAUGGACUCGAACGAUUGAGAAGAAUGUCAUGGUUCACCUGAUUGAUGCUUUUCUUGGUACUGUUUUCGUUGCAACUAGAAGCAAAGGCGCGCUUUGCUGCGCCGUUCCUACCAUUCUUGGCAUUGUCAUGGUGAUCGAUAUGGCAAAUAAUCCGAUGCGCUGCAAGAAUUUCUAUCUAGUCACCUUCGAAUUUCUAUCUAGUCACCUUCCUGAAGAAUGUAACGUGAACUAAAUGAGGAAUGAAAUACAAAGUUUUUUUUAGCAUAAUAACUUUAUUCAUCAAAUGAUAGCCAGGUUGUUUACAAAAAGGUGAAGAAUAAAGUCAGGGAU